UUUAUGUGGUACUGAGGAAUUGAACUCAGGGCUUCAUGCAUGCUAGGCAAGCACUCUACCACUAAACCACAUUCCUAGUCCCAAAACAUGAUUUGACAGCAAAAAUAUUUCCAGAAAUUUCAAGAGGGACCACUAUUCAGAAUUUUCAAAGUAUUUUCUAGGCACCAGAGGCUCACACCUGUAGCCCUAGCUACUCAGAGGGUGAGAUUUGAGGAUCAUGGUUCACAGCCAGUGUGGGCAAGAAAUGUCUAUGACUUUUACCACCAAUUAACCACACACA